rnacentral:rRNA from 1 species
AUUGAACGCUGGCGGCAGGCUUAACACAUGCAAGUCGAGCGGGGUGAUGGUGCUUGCACUAUCACUUAGCGGCGGACGGGUGAGUAAUGCUUAGGAAUCUGCCUAUUAGUGGGGGACAACAUCUCGAAAGGGAUGCUAAUACCGCAUACGUCCUACGGGAGAAAGCAGGGGAUCACUUGUGACCUUGCGCUAAUAGAUGAGCCUAAGUCGGAUUAGCUAGUUGGUGGGGUAAAGGCCUACCAAGGCGACGAUCUGUAGCGGGUCUGAGAGGAUGAUUCGCCACACUGGGACUGAGAAACGGCCCAGACUCCGACGGGAGGCAGCAGUGGGGAAGAUUGGACAAUGGGGGAACCCUGAUCCAGCCAUGCCGCGUGUGUGAAGAAGGCCUUAUGGUUGUAAAGCACUUUAAGCGAGGAGGAGGCUACUCUAGUUAAUACUUAGGGAUAGUGGACGUUACUCGCAGAAUAAGCACCGGCUAACUCUGUGCCAGCCGCCGCGGUAA